rnacentral:lncRNA from 1 species
AUGUCUCAGAAUUGUCCCAAAAAUGUCCCAAAAUAUCCCAAAAGUGUCCCAAAAUUGUCCCAAAAUGUCAUCCAAAGUAUCCCAAAAUAUCCCAGAAUUGUCCCAAAAAUAUCCAAAAAUAUCCCACAAUUGUCCCAAAAUAUCCAAAAACGUUGUCCCAAAAAGUCAUCUCAAAAUAUCUCAAAAUAUCCCAAAAAGUCUCAAAAUUGUCCCAAAAAUGUCCCCAAAUUGUCCCAAAAUAUUCAAAAAUAUCAUCCUAAAAUGUCAUCCCAAAAUAUCCCAAAAUAUCCAAAAUUGUCCCAAAAUUGUCCCCAAAAUAUCCAAAAAUAUCCCGAAAUAUCCCACAAUUGUCCCAAAAUAUCAUCCCCAAAAAUAUCCCAAAAUAUCAUCCUAAAAAUACCCCAAAAAUACCCCAAAAAUGUCCCAAAAUAUCCAAAAAUGUCGUCCCAAAAGUGUCCCAAAAUUGUCCCAAAAAUGUCCCAGAAUUGUCCCAAAAUAUCAAAAAAUGUCAUCCUAAAAAUAUCCCAAAAAUGCCCCAAAAUUGUCCUAAAAAUAUCCCAAAAAUGUCCCAAAGUUGUCCCAAAAUGUCCGAAAUAUAUCCCAAAAAUGUCCCAAAAAUGCCCCCAAAAAUAUCCGAAAGUUUCCCAAAAAUGUCCCAAAAGUGUCCCCAAAAUGUCCCAAAAUAUCCAAAAAUAUCAUCCAAGAAUAUCAAAAAAUGGCCCAAAAUGUCAUCCCAAAAAUGUCCCAAAAUUGUCCCAAAAAUGUUCCCAAAAAUGUUCCCAAAAUAUCAUCCCAAAAUAUCCCAAAAAUGUCCCAAAUUGUCCCAAAUAUAUCCAAAAAUACCCCAAAAUAUCCUCCCAAAAUGUCCCAAAAUUGUCCCACAGAGAUCCCAAAAAUGUCCCCAAAUUGUCCCAAAAUGUCAUCUCAAAAAUGUCCCAAAAUUGUCCCCAAAAUAUCCCAAAAAUGUCCCCAAAAUUGUCCCAAAACUGUCCCAAAAUGUCAUCCCAAAGUAUCCCAAAAUAUCCAAAAAUGUCAUUCCUAAAAUGUCCCAAAAUUGUCCCAAAAUUGUCCAAAAAGUCCCAAAAAUGUCCCAAAAAUAUCCAAAAAUGUCCCAAAAAUGUCCAAACAAAAUGUCCCAGAACUGUCCCAAAAUAUCCCGAAAGUGUCCCAAAAUGUCAUCCCAAAACAUCCCAAAAUUGUCCCCAAAAUGUCUCAAAAAUGUCCCAAAAUUGUCCCAAAAACAUCCCAAAAUAUCCCAAAAAUAUCCCAAAAUAUCAUCCCAAAAAUAUCAAAAAAUGUCCCCAAAUUGACCCAAAAAUAUCCAAAAAUUGUCCCAAAAUGUCCGAAAUUGUCCCAAAAUAUCCAAAAUUGUUCCCAAAUUGUCCCAAAAUGUCCCAAAAUGUCCCCAAAUCCCCCAGAAAUCCACCCCAGACCCCAGCCCUGGCAGGGGUCACUCAGGGGUCACUCAGGGGUCACUCAGGGUCACUCAGGGGUCACUCGGCCACCUGGACGCCGCCGCAGUUCUCUUUGCUCUCCGAGGUGAUGGCCAGGUACUCGGAGCUGGUGGGGGGGAGGGGAGAAAUUCGGGGUGGGGGAGGGGAUCCCGAAUUCGGGAACCCCCAAAAAACCCAAAAUCCCCAAAAAAAAUCACCCAAAAAAACCCCAAACCCCCCAAAAUUCCACCCAAAAAUGUCCCAAAAUUCCACCCUAAAAAACCCCAAAUUCCACCUGAAAAUUCCCCAAAAUUCCACCCGAAAAUUCCACCCUUAAAAACCCAAAAAUUCGAACCCAAAAUGCCCCAAAAUCCCCCAAAAUUCCACCCCAAAAUGCCCCCAAAUCCCCCAAAAUUCCACCCAAAUUCCCCAAAAUUCCACCCAAAAAUGUCCCAAAAUUCCACCCUAAAAAAUCCCAAAUUCCACCCAAAAUUCCCCAAAAUUCCACCCUAAAUUCCACCCAAAAAUGUCCCAGAAUUCCACCCUAAAAAAACCCAAAUUCCACCCAAAAAUUCCCCAAAAUUCCACCCUAAAAAACCCAAAAAUUCGAACCCAAAAUGCCCCAAAAUCCCCCAAAAUUCCACCCCAAAAUGCCCCAGAAUUCCACCCGAAUAUCCCCAAAAUUCUACCCCAAAAUUCCCCAAAAUUCCACCCUAAAAAACCCAAAAAUUUGAACCCAAAAUGCCCCAAAAUUCCACCCAAAAAACCCCAAAAAUUCCACCCAAAAAUGUCCCAAAAUCCCCCAAAACUCCACCCAAAAAUGUCCCAAAAUUCCACCCUAAAAAAACCCAAAUUCCACCCCAAAAUUCCCCAAAAUUCCACCCUAAAAAACCCAAAAAUUCGAACCCAAAAUGCCCCAAAAUCCCCCAAAAUUACACCAAAAAAUGCCCCAAAAUCCCCCCAAAAUUCCACCCAAAUUCCCCAAAAUUCCACCCAAAAAUGCCCAAAUUCCAUCUGAAAAUUCCCCAAAAUUCCAUCUGAAAAUUCCCCAAAAUUCCACCCUAAAAAACCCAAAAAUUCGAACCCAAAAUGCCCCAAAAUCCCCCAAAAUUCCACCCUAAAAACCCCCAAAUUCCACCCCAAAAUCCCCCAAAAUUCCAUCUGAAAAUUCCCAAAAAUUCCACCCAAAAAAACCCAAAAAUUCCACCCCAAAAUCCCCAAAAUUCCACCCAAAAAACCCCAAAAAUUCCACCCAAAAUGCCCCAAAAUCCCCCUUCCUUUAAGCCCCGCCCCCANNNNNNNNNNNNNNNNNNNNAAAUGCCCCAAGAUCCCCCCAA